rnacentral:lncRNA from 1 species
CCCUUUAUUCUAGGCUUUAACCUGAUACACAUACAUAUACACCCUUUUUGGUAAACUUCUUGAUACAAUGAAAAACAAAAUUGAGCAAACACUUGUUGAAGAAAUGUGAAUAUUACUUGUUUUGUGUAGGAUUUGGUCUGCUAGGUGGAAUUCUUCUAAGGCUAGCAACUACCACAGGAUCAUGAGUUGAUUUAGACCCUUCUCUGCCUGAAAGUGAAUGUGAGGAUGGAGACUUUUUUGAAACUAAGGACAAAGAUGAAGGGUGAGUCCUAGCUUGAGACAUAUUAACCAUUAGUGAAAGUAUCAAUGUUAUUGCAAAGAUAACAAUAAUCAUUAAGGUGCACAAUGAUUUCAUGGUCUUUGUUGACUUAGAAAGGAGGAUUGUAUUUUACUUGCUAU